rnacentral:rRNA from 1 species
UGGGGAAUAUUGCACAAUGGGCGCAAGCCUGAUGCAGCCAUGCCGCGUGUAUGAAGAAGGCCUUCGGGUUGUAAAGUACUUUCAGCGGGGAGGAAGGGAGUAAAGUUAAUACCUUUGCUCAUUGACGUUACCCGCAGAAGAAGCACCGGCUAACUCCGUGCCAGCAGCCGCGGUAAUACGGAGGGUGCAAGCGUUAAUCGGAAUUACUGGGCGUAAAGCGCACGCAGGCGGUUUGUUAAGUCAGAUGUGAAAUCCCCGGGCUCAACCUGGGAACUGCAUCUAAUACUGGCAAGCUUGAGUCUCGUAGAGGGGGGUAGAAUUCCAGGUGUAGCGGUGAAAUGCGUAGAGAUCUGGAGGAAUACCGGUGGCGAAGGCGGCCCCCUGGACAAAGACUGACGCUCAGGUGCGAAAGCGUGGGGAGCAAACAGG